ACCGGAGCCGUAUCUCCUUGCAGUUCUUGUGCAGGGUUGAGUGUGGUCAGGACCUGGAUGGAAGACCUCCUGGGAAAACUAGGGUUGCUGCUGGAA
rnacentral:rRNA from 1 species